UGUCAAGGGAUGGGAAUCGAACCCACGACCUUCCGCUUACCGGGCAGAUGCCAUGGCCACUAAGCUACCCUGGAC
rnacentral:tRNA from 1 species